rnacentral:rRNA from 1 species
AUUGAACGCUGGCGGCAUGCCUUACACAUGCAAGUCGAACGGCAGCGGGGGAGAAGCUUGCUUUUCCUGCCGGCGAGUGGCGAACGGGUGAGUAAUACAUCGGAACGUGCCCUGUAGUGGGGGAUAACUAGUCGAAAGAUUAGCUAAUACCGCAUACGACCUGAGGGUGAAAGGGGGGGACCGCAAGGCCUCAUGCUAUAGGAGCGGCCGAUGUCUGAUUAGCUAGUUGGUGGGGUAAAGGCCUACCAAGGCGACGAUCAGUAGCUGGUCUGAGAGGCCGGUCAGCCACACUGGGACUGAGACACGGCCGAGAUUCCUACGGGAGGCAGCAGUGGGGAAUUUUGGACAAUGGGCGAAAGCCUGAUCCAGCAAUGCCGCGUGUGUGAAGAAGGCCUUCGGGUUGUAAAGCACUUUUGUCCGGAAAGAAAUGGCUCUGGUUAAUACCUGGGGUCGAUGACGGUACCGGAAGAAUAAGGACCGGCUGACUACGUGCCAGCCGCCGCCGUAA